AGUUUGACCAUUUGUUUGAGGGUGCAAAAUUGAAAAAAAUUUCAAUGUUGUGCCAAACAACUACCAAAGUGUCUUCCAAAAGUAACUAACAAACUUAAUAUCACUAUCAGACACUAUAGAAGAAGGCAAACCAUGCAAUUUGACAAUUUCCCUGAAGAACAAUGCAGCUGCAUGUGAAGCAUCAUGUGUCUUGUUACAUGAAAUGAAAUGCACCAUUUUAGAGAACCUAUCCACUACUAUUAAGAUGGAAUCAUGCCCUCGAGUUGUUUUAGAUAACCCAAGCACAAAAUUAAUACUCACAUCUUUCCAAGGGGUA
rnacentral:misc_RNA from 1 species